UCUAGUGUGGCAGAAAUAGUGCAAUGAAUUUAAGAUUCAUAAAUAAAGAUGUAUCUUUCUCUAGAA
rnacentral:tRNA from 1 species